GGAACACCAGUGGCGAAGGCGGCUUACUGGACGAUUACUGACGCUGAGGCGCGAAAGCGUGGGGAGCAAACAGGAUUAGAUUCCCUGGUAGUCCACGCUGUAAACGAUGUCGAUUUGGGGGUUGAACUUUAGGUUUGGCGCCCGUAGCUAACGUGAUAAAUCGACCGCCUGGGGAGUACGGCCGCAAGGUUAAAACUCAAAUGAAUUGACGGGGGCCCGCACAAGCGGUGGAGCAUGUGGUUUAAUUCGAUGCAACGCGAAGAACCUUACCUGGUCUUGACAUCCACGGAAGUUUUCAGAGAUGAGAAUGUGCCUUCGGGAACCGUGAGACAGGUGCUGCAUGGCUGUCGUCAGCUCGUGUUGUGAAAUGUUGGGUUAAGUCCCGCAACGAGCGCAACCCUUAUCCUUUGUUGCCAGCGGUCCGGCCGGGAACUCAAAGGAGACUGCCAGUGAUAAACUGGAGGAAGGUGGGGAUGACGUCAAGUCAUCAUGGCCCUUACGACCAGGGCUACACACGUGCUACAAUGGCGCAUACAAAGAGAAGCGACCUCGCGAGAGCAAGCGGACCUCAUAAAGUGCGUCGUAGUCCGGAUUGGAGUCUGCAACUCGACUCCAUGAAGUCGGAAUCGCUAGUAAUCGUGGAUCAGAAUGCCACGGUGAAUACGUUCCCGAGCCUUGUACCCUCCGCCCGUCACUCCAUGGGAGUCGAGUUGCAG
rnacentral:rRNA from 1 species